UACGAAGGGGGCAAGCGUUGUUCGGAAUUACUGGGCGUAAAGGGCGCGCAGGCGCCGAUCAAGUCAGAUGUGAAAGCCCCGGGCUCAACCCUGGGAAUAGCAUUUGGGACUGGUCGGCUAGAGUUCGGGAGAGGAGAGUGGAAUUCCCAGUGUAGAGGUGAAAUUCGUAGAUAUUGGGAAGAACACCGGUGGCGAAGGCGGCUCUCUGGACCGAUACUGACGCUGAGGCGGCGAAAGCGUGGGGAGCAAACAGG
rnacentral:rRNA from 1 species